rnacentral:rRNA from 1 species
AUUGAACGCUGGCGGCAGGCCUAACACAUGCAAGUCGAGCGAGCGGCGGACGGGUGAGUAAUGUCUGGGAAACUGCCUGAUGGAGGGGGAUAACUACUGGAAACGGUAGCUAAUACCGCAUACCAUCAGAUGUGCCCAGAUGGGAUUAGCUAGUAGGGGGGGUAACGGCUCACCUAGGCGACGAUCCCUAGCUGGUCUGAGCGGAUGACCAGCCACACUGGAACUGGGAACGGGUCCAGACUCCUAGGGGGGGCAGCAGUGGGGAAUAUUGCACAAUGGGCGCAAGCCUGAUGCAGCCAUGCCGGGUGUGUGAAGAAGGCCUUCGGGUUGUAAAGCACUUUCAGCGGGGAGGCGUUACCCGCAGAAGAAGCACCGGCUAACUCCGUGCCAGCCGCCGCGGUAAUC